rnacentral:rRNA from 1 species
UACGUAGGGUGCGAGCGUUGUCCGGAAUUAUUGGGCGUAAAGAGCUUGUAGGCGGUUUGUCGCGUCUGCUGUGAAAAUCCGGGGCUCAACCCCGGACUUGCAGUGGGUACGGGCAGACUAGAGUGUGGUAGGGGAGACUGGAAUUCCUGUGUAGCGGUGAAAUGCGCAGAUAUCAGGAGGAACACCCGUGGCGAAGGCGGCUCUCUGGGACGGUACUGACACUGAGGAGCGAAAGCGUGGGUGAGCAAACAGGG